rnacentral:rRNA from 1 species
UGCAGUCGAGCGGACAGAUGGGAGCUUGCUCCCUGAUGUUAGCGGCGGACGGGUGAGUAACACGUGGGUAACCUGCCUGUAAGACUGGGAUAACUCCGGGAAACCGGGGCUAAUACCGGAUGCUUGUUUGAACCGCAUGGUUCAAACAUAAAAGGUGGCUUCGGCUACCACUUACAGAUGGACCCGCGGCGCAUUAGCUAGUUGGUGAGGUAAUGGCUCACCAAGGCAACGAUGCGUAGCCGACCUGAGAGGGUGAUCGGCCACACUGGGACUGAGACACGGCCCAGACUCCUACGGGAGGCAGCAGUAGGGAAUCUUCCGCAAUGGACGAAAGUCUGACGGAGCAACGCCGCGUGAGUGAUGAAGGUUUUCGGAUCGUAAAGCUCUGUUGUUAGGGAAGAACAAGUGCCGUUCAAAUAGGGCGGCACCUUGACGGUACCUAACCAGAAAGCCACGGCUAACUACGUGCCAGCAGCCGCGGUAAUACGUAGGUGGCAAGCGUUGUCCGGAAUUAUUGGGCGUAAAGGGCUCGCAGGCGGUUUCUUAAGUCUGAUGUGAAAGCCCCCGGCUCAACCGGGGAGGGUCAUUGGAAACUGGGGAACUUGAGUGCAGAAGAGGAGAGUGGAAUUCCACGUGUAGCGGUGAAAUGCGUAGAGAUGUGGAGGAACAC